UACGGGGGGAGCAAGCGUUGUUCGGAUUUACUGGGCGUAAAGGGCGCGUAGGCGGCUUGACAAGUCACUUGUGAAAUCUCCGGGCUUAACUCGGAACGGCCAAGUGAAACUGUCAUGCUAGAGUGCAGAAGGGGCAACUGGAAUUCUCGGUGUAGCGGUGAAAUGCGUAGAUAUCGAGAGGAACACCUGCGGCGAAGGCGGGUUGCUGGGCUGACACUGACGCUGAUGCGCGAAAGCGUGGGGAGCGAACAGG
rnacentral:rRNA from 1 species